rnacentral:ncRNA from 2 species
CUCUUAUUCAGAGUGGUGGAGGUACAGAGGACCUGUGAAGCCACGGCAACCCCCUAUCGGGAAGGUGCCAACCUGAGCGAGCUAUCGAACAAUAAGAG